rnacentral:rRNA from 1 species
UGGUCAAGUUAUUAAGGGUGCAGGGCGGAUGCCUUGGCACUAGGAGCCGAUGAAGGACGUGAUAAGCUGCGAUAAGCUUCGGGGAGUUGCACGUAAACUUUGAUCCGAAGAUUUCCGAAUGAGGAAACUCACUUAGAGUAAUGUCUAAGUAUCAUUAAGUGAAUACAUAGCUUAAUGAGGGGAACUCAGGGAACUGAAACAUCUAAGUACCUGAAGGAAGAGAAAGAAAUUCGAUUCCGUAAGUAGCGGCGAGCGAACGCGGAUUAGCCCAAACCAAUAAAGUUUUCUUUAUUGGGGUUGCGGACAUAUCAUAACGAAGAG